rnacentral:rRNA from 1 species
CCUAGGUACAAUUUUACAAAUACUGUAUUUAAUAUCUAAGUAAAUUAAUAUAAAUAGUAGUUAUAAAUGAUUUAUAUAUUAAAUUUAUUUUACAGGCUAUACUGGUUAAGCACUAUCUUUAAAAAUUUAAUAAAAACUAGGGCUAGAUGCCUAUUAUUUUCUUGUUAAAUUAGUUUAUGUAGUAAAGGUGUUACCCCUGAAACAUAAAUGGCAUGGCAGUAUUUUACCCCUUGUAGAGAAAUUUGUACCCUUAUUUGAUAAUCCUCAUUAAAUUUUACUUAAAUUUAUUUCAUGUGUGGUUGUUUAAAAUAAGUAAUUAAUUAUAAAUUAUUAAAUCAGAUAACAUGUGGAAAUAAUUAAGUUAUUAUUAAUUGCAAUUUUUAAAUGUUAAAAUGGAUUUACACUGUAUUACAUUAUUUGACAACAUUAGAAUCAUAACUUUAAGUUAAUAUUUAAGUAUGAUGUGGUAUUAAAAUAUGUUCAUAUUGUCCGUCACUCUCAGAGAU